rnacentral:rRNA from 1 species
GACGAACGCUGGCGGCGUGCCUAAUACAUGCAAGUAGAACGCUGAAGGAGGAGCUUGCUUCUCUGGAUGAGUUGCGAACGGGUGAGUAACGCGUAGGUAACCUGCCUGGUAGCGGGGGAUAACUAUUGGAAACGAUAGCUAAUACCGCAUAAGAGUAGAUGUUGCAUGACAUUUGCUUAAAAGGUGCAAUUGCAUCACUACCAGAUGGACCUGCGUUGUAUUAGCUAGUUGGUGGGGUAACGGCUCACCAAGGCGACGAUACAUAGCCGACCUGAGAGGGUGAUCGGCCACACUGGGACUGAGACACGGCCCAGACUCCUACGGGAGGCAGCAGUAGGGAAUCUUCGGCAAUGGACGGAAGUCUGACCGAGCAACGCCGCGUGAGUGAAGAAGGUUUUCGGAUCGUAAAGCUCGGUUGUAAGAGAAGAACGAGUGUGAGAGUGGAAAGUUCACACUGUGACGGUAUCUUACCAGAAAGAGACGGCUAACUACGUG